rnacentral:rRNA from 1 species
AUUGAACGCUGGCGGCAUGCCUUACACAUGCAAGUCGAACGGCAGCACGGGUGCUUGCACCUGGUGGCGAGUGGCGAACGGGUGAGUAAUACAUCGGAACAUGUCCUGUAGUGGGGGAUAGCCCGGCGAAAGCCGGAUUAAUACCGCAUACGAUCUACGGAUGAAAGCGGGGGACCUUCGGGCCUCGCGCGAUAGGGUUGGCCGAUGGCUGAUUAGCUAGUUGGUGGGGGAAAGGCCUACCAAGGCGACGAUCAGUAGCUGGUCUGAGAGGACGACCAGCCACACUGGGACUGAGACACGGCCCAGACUCCUACGGGAGGCAGCAGUGGGGAAUUUUGGACAAUAGGCGAAAGACUGAUCCAGCAAUGCCGAGUGUGUGAAGGAGGCCUUCGGGUUGUAAAGCACUUUUGUCCGGAAAGAAAUCCUUGGCCCUAAUACGGUCGGGGGAUGACGGUACCGGAAGAAUAAGCACCGGCUAACUACGUG